rnacentral:ncRNA from 2 species
UACUAGUUGCGGGGGAACCAUUUUGGUUGAGAAGGUAAAACCUGACCCUUGGAACCUGUCGGUUAACACCGGUGUAGGGAAGCAAAAAUUAUCAGAAA